CUGUUAUAUCCAAAAUAAUUGACAUAGAAGAGAGAAAAAGAUCAACAAGGGACAUCGACUAUAACUAGAUAACUAUGUAAGGCGUUAUCUUUAGUAGUGAGCUGGCCUUUCGCAAUCAAUAGGAGACAAAAUAAACAAAGAAAACGUUGAGGUUAACGAAAUGCAAGCAAUGACAUCAGCAGAUAUGUUAUAAAAUGGGUUGGUUUGUGCUCUCUUGAGGCAGCAUCGAUCCAAGUGAAUCUUAAGGUUGAAGCAUUCCAAAACCAGAAAGCAUGUGUUAUCGGCUACAAUGUGGAACCUGCAGGAAGUACACCUGGGGGGGUUGUGGAAAACACUUGACCACCCUAUAUGGUAGCAUUGAUGCAGGAAUGCACUGCAUGUGCCGCUCCUGGCCUGGCGUUGUCAUACCCAAAGCACAAGCUAGUGAGCAACCAACAAAUCCCAGUAACUCUUCCCAAGCCAACGUGAAUCCUCUGAAUUCUUGAAGCUGCUGGUCUCCAGUAGUAUGGGACGCGCAGAGGAGUAGAGAUCUACUUUUGUGGGAUACCUUCUUAGGUUACAAGAAAUUGUUAAGGAGGUUAAUUUUAAUAAUGUAAUGCAGGGCUGGUCAUGUUAUGCUGAAUGACCAACAUUAACCUGCAUUCUUUUCUAUGUUAAUGGGUUUAUUAAUAAAGAAUAAAUUCCUCUGUUCU